rfam:Rozella allomycis CSF55 unplaced genomic scaffold scaffold_2823, whole genome shotgun sequence.
GCUCUUAUGGCGCAAUUGGUUAGCGCGUUCGGCUGUUAACCGAAAGGUUGGUAGUUCGAGUCUACCUUGGAGCG